UAGGGAAUAUUGCACAAUGGGCGAAAGCCUGAUGCAGCAACGCCGCGUGCGCGAUGAAGGCCUUCGGGUCGUAAAGCGCUUUUCGGGGAGAUGAGGAAGGACAGUAUCCCCGGAUAAGUCUCGGCUAACUACGUGCCAGCAGCCGCGGUAACACGUAGGAGGCAAGCGUUAUCCGAAUUUACUGGGCGUAAAGCGCGUGCAGGCGGUUCGGUAAGUUGGAUGUGAAAUCUCCUGGCUCAACUGGGAGAGGUCGUUCAAUACUGUCGGACUAGAGGAUGGUAGAGGGAGGUGGAAUUCCCGGUGUAGUGGUGAAAUGCGUAGAUAUCGGGAGGAACACCAGUGGCGAAAGCGGCCUCCUGGACCAUUCCUGACGCUCAGACGCGAAAGCUAGGGGAGCGAACGG
rnacentral:rRNA from 1 species